rnacentral:piRNA from 1 species
UGACAUAUGGUAGAGCACAACCCCCAAGGUC